rnacentral:misc_RNA from 1 species
GAUGAAGAACGUAGCGAAAUGCGAUAAGUAAUGUGAAUUGCAGAAUUCAGUGAAUCAUCUAAUCUUUGAACGCACAUUGCGCCCCCUGGUAUUCCGGGGGGCAUGCCUGUCCGAGCGUCAUUACAACCCUCAAGCUCAGCUUGGUGUUGGGCCCCGCCGCCCCGGCGGGCCCUAAAGUCAGUGGCGGUGCCGUCCGGCUCCGAGCGUAGUAAUUCUUCUCGCUCUGGAGGUCCGGUCGUGUGCUCGCCAGCAACCCCCAAUUUUUUUCAGGUUGACCUCGGAUCAGGUAGGGAUACCCGCUGAACUUAAGCAUAUCAAUAAGCGGAGGA